UACGUAGGGUGCGAGCGUUGUCCGGAAUUAUUGGGCGUAAAGAGCUCGUAGGCGGUCUGUCGCGUCUGCUGUGAAAACCCGAGGCUCAACCUCGGGCCUGCAGUGGGUACGGGCAGACUAGAGUGCGGUAGGGGAGAAUGGAAUUCCUGGUGUAGCGGUGGAAUGCGCAGAUAUCAGGAGGAACACCGAUGGCGAAGGCAGUUCGUCUGGGCCGUAACUGACGCUGAGGAGCGAAAGCGUGGGGAGCGAACAGG
rnacentral:rRNA from 1 species